CACAGGACGCUAGUUGUGAACAAGGUGUGAAGAGCCUAUUGAGCUACAAGAGAGUCCUCCGGCCCCUGAAUGCGGCUAAUCCCAACCACGGAGCAGGUGACUUCAAGCCAGAAGUUGGCCUGUCGUAACGCGUAAGUCUGUGGCGGAACCGACUACUUUGGGUGUCCGUGUUUCCCUUUAUUCUUACAAUGGCUGCUUAUGGUGACAAUCAUAGAUUGUUAUCAUAAGCCGAAUUGGAUUGGCCAUCGGGUG
rfam:Human coxsackievirus A15 strain G9, complete genome.